rnacentral:lncRNA from 1 species
AUUAAACAAGAAAAUUGGUUGAUAAUUAUGAAAUCUUUAACAAUACUGAUGACUACAGUAUAUCAAAAUUAACACCAUGGAGUCUGAGGUAUCCUUCAUUAGCAACAAAAAUGAAAACUAGAGCACUUCAAAUACCACUGAUAAAAUAUCAAAGAAGAUGAGACUAUACCCCACUUCGGCCUUAAGCCACUUGGAUUGGGACCUCAAUAUCAGUAGCAACCAAUGUUGGCUUGACAUACUCCUCUUCAUCCUUGGGUGAGUGGAUUGUUACGAGAUCAGGUAGAGGGGUAGUAGGACCUUGCUUUCCAUUAGGAUCCCAACUAAGCAUGAUCUUGACCUUAAUACCAA